AAUAUUGGACAAUGGGGGCAACCCUGAUCCAGCCAUGCCGCGUGUGUGAAGAAGGUCUUCGGAUUGUAAAGCACUUUAAGUUGGGAGGAAGGGCUUUAGGUUAAUACCCUGAAGUUUUGACGUUACCAACAGAUUAAGCACCGGCUAACUCUGUGCCAGCAGCCGCGGUAAUCCAGAGGGUGCAAGCGUUAAUCGGAAUUACUGGGCGUAAAGCGGGGGUAGGUGGUUCAGGAAUAUGGGUGUAAAACCCCCGGGCUUAACCGGGGAACUGCUUUCAUAACUGCUGAGCUAGAGUACGGUAGAGGGUAGGGGAAUUUCCUGUGUAGGGGUGAAAUGCGUAGAUAUAGGAAGGAACACCAGUGGCGAAGGCGACUACCUGGACUGAUACUGACACUGAGGUGCGAAAGCGUGGGGAGCAAACA
rnacentral:rRNA from 1 species